rnacentral:tRNA from 1 species
AAUGAUGAGCCUGAUUAUAGGACUAUCGUGAUAGGAUAGAAUAUGUAGUAUAAACCCAACUACCUUCAUUA